UACGUAGGGUGGCAAGCGUUGUCCGGAAUUAUUGGGCGUAAAGCGCGCGCAGGUGGUUCCUUAAGUCUGAUGUGAAAGCCCAGCGGCUCAACCGUGGAGGGUCAUUGGAAACUGGGGAACUUGAGUGCAGAAGAGGAAAGUGGAAUUCCAAGUGUAGCGGUGAAAUGAUCGUAGAGAUUUGGAAGGAACACCAGUGGCGAAGGCGGACUUUC
rnacentral:rRNA from 1 species